AACGAACGCUGGCGGCAGGCUUAACACAUGCAAGUCGAGCGCAUCCUUCGGGGUGAGCGGCAGACGGGUGAGUAACGCGUCGGAAUCUACCUUUUGCUACGGAAUAGCUCCGGGAAACUGGAAUUAAUACCGUAUGUGCCCUUAGGGGGAAAGAUUUAUCGGCAAGAGAUGAGCCCGCGUUGGAUUAGCUAGUUGGUGGGGUAAAGGCCUACCAAGGCGACGAUCCAUAGCUGGUCUGAGAGGAUGAUCAGCCACAUUGGGACUGAGACACGGCCCAAACUCCUACGGGAGGCAGCAGUGGGGAAUAUUGGACUAUGGGCGCAAGCCUGAUCCAGCCAUGCCGCGUGAGUGAUGAAGGCCUUAGGGUUGUAAAGCUCUUUCACCGGAGAAGAUAAUGACGGUAUCCGGAGAAGAAGCCCCGGCUAACUUCGUG
rnacentral:rRNA from 1 species